rnacentral:lncRNA from 1 species
GUUUAUAGUAAUCGAGACCAUCUUGGACCAUCCCCUUAUUAAAAAGCACAACUUUAUAUAAUGGUUUACAUUAUGCCAUAAUUCCAUAAAGAUGAAUGUGUCUAUCCUUUUCCGAGAAUUUGUCGGGACAAUAAAAUUAUGGGGAAAAAGAAAAGAAAAAAAAACCCAAUAACAAUAUGCCCCCUCGACCUUUGAAAGGGAUAACAUAGAACGCCCUAUAGCAGAUGCAAGGUUAUUAAACAAUAGGGGAUCAUAUAGACAGACACAGGGAUCCUAUAGAACGCACUAUAGAAUAUGCGCGAUUAUUAAACAAAAGGGGAUCAUAUAGACCGCCAAGGUAUAAACAAUAGGGGAUCCUAUAGACAGACCCGGGGAUCCUAUAGAACGCACUAUAGAAUAUGCGCGAUUAUUAAACAAAAGGGG